AGUAGGCAAAUCCGCUUUGAUAAUGCUGGGAUGUGAUGGGGAGCGAAAUUUAGUAGCGAAGUAGCUGAUUUCACACUGUCAAGAAAAGUCUCUAUCGAGGUUAAAGGUACCCGUACCGCAAACCGACACAGGUGGGUGAGGAGAGUAUCCUAAGGCCAGCGAGAGAACUGUUGUUAAGGAACUCGGCAAAAUGACCCCGUAACUUAGGGAUAAGGGGUGCCACCAUCAGGUGGCCGCAGAGAAUAGGCCCAAGCGACUGUUUACCAAAAACAUAGGUUUCUGCUAAGUCGCAAGACGAUGUAUAGGAGCUGACGCCUGCCCGGUGCUGGAAGGUUAAGGGGAUCUGUUAGAGCAAUCGAAGCAGUGAACUUAAGCCCCAGUAAACGGCGGCCGUAACUAUAACGGUCCUAAGGUAGCGAAAUUCCUUGUCGGGUAAGUUCCGACCCGCACGAAAGGCGUAACGAUUUGGGCACUGUCUCAACAACAGACUCGGUGAAAUUGUAAUUCCGGUGAAGAUGCCGGAUACCUGCGACAGGACGGAAAGACCCCAUGGAGCUUUACUGUAGCUUGACAUUGGGUCUUGGUACUACAUGUACAGGAUAGGUGGGAGGCUUUGAAACCAGGACGCCAGUUUUGGCGGAGCCAUCCUUGGGAUACCACCCUUGUAGUACUGGGACUCUAACCAUAGGCCAUGAAUCUGGUCUUGGGACACUGUCAGGUGGGCAGUUUGACUGGGGCGGUCGCCUCCCAAAAGGUAACGGAGGCGCUCAAAGGUUCUCUCAGUACGGUCGGAAAUCGUACGUAGAGUGUAAAGGCAAAAGAGAGCUUGAUUGCAAGACAUACAGGUCGAGCAAGGAUGAAAAUCGGACUUAGUGAUCCGGUGGUUCUGCGUGGAAGGGCCAUCGCUCAACGGAUAAAAGCUACCCUGGGGAUAACAGGCUUAUCUCCCCCAAGAGUCCACAUCGACGGGGAGGUUUGGCACCUCGAUGUCGGCUCAUCACAUCCUGGGGCUGUAGUAGGUCCCAAGGGUUGGGCUGUUCGCCCAUUAAAGUGGUACGCGAGCUGGGUUCAGAACGUCGUGAGACAGUUCGGUCCCUAUCCGUCGCAGGCGUAGGAAAUUUGAGAAGACCUGUCCUUAGUACGAGAGGACCGGGAUGGACGUACCUCUGGUGUACCAGUUGUCCUGCCAAG
rnacentral:rRNA from 1 species